UACGAAGGGGGCUAGCGUUGUUCGGAAUUACUGGGCGUAAAGCGCGCGCAGGCGGUUCUUCAAGUCAGUGGUGAAAGCCCGGAGCUCAACUCCGGAAUUGCCAUUGAGACUGUAGAACUUGAGUACGAGAGAGGUGAGUGGAAUUCCCAGUGUAGAGGUGAAAUUCGUAGAUAUUGGGAAGAACACCGGUGGCGAAGGCGGCUCACUGGCUCGUAACUGACGCUCAGGCGCGAUAGCGUGGGGAUCAAACAGG
rnacentral:rRNA from 1 species